AAGCGACUCUGCGCGGCCCGAGCCUGGACGGCGGCUCCGAAGGACCAAAAAUUUUUCCCUAGUCCUUUCUCGUCCAAGCUAAAGUUCCUGUGGACUUCCCAGGAAAACGACAGUGUCCGGAAGCCUCUGCAAUGCCCUCUUAGGAUUGUCCAAGAAGAUGGCGAAACAUUUGCAGGCAGCGAUAGGAGUUGAGGGAAUGUGCGGGCUGAAACUAAGGUUUUUUUCUUUUGUUUUGUUUCGUUUUUGAGACGGAGUCUUGCUCUGUCGCCCAGGCUGGAGUCCAGUGGCGCGAUCUCGGCUCACUGCAACCUCCGUCUCCCGGGUUCCAGAGAUUCUCGUGCCUCAGCCUCGCGAGUAGCUGGGAUUACAGGCGUGAGCCACCACGCUUGGUUAAUUUUUGUGUUUUUUGUUUGUUUGUUUUUUGAGACGGAGUCUCUUUCUGUCGCCCAGGAGUGCAGUGGCGCGAUCUCGGCUCACUGCAACCUCCGCCUCCUGGGCUCAAGCGAUUCUCCUGCCUCAGCCUCCUGAGUAGCUGGGAUUACAGGCGCCCGCCACCACGCCCGGAUAAUUUUUUGUAUUUUUAGUAGAGACGGGGUUUCACUAUGUUGGUCAGGCUGGUCUUGAAUUCUUGACCGCGUGAUCCGCCCUCCUCGGCGUCCCAAAGUGCUGCUGGAAUUACAGGUGUGAGCCACCGCGCCCGGCCAAUUUUUUUUUUUUUUUAUUUUUUAGUAGAGACGGGGUUUCGCCAUGUUGGCCAGUCUGGUCUGGAACUCCUGACCUCAAGUGAUCCGCCCUCCUCGGCCUCCCAAAGUGCUGAGAUUACAGAAGUAAGCUACCGCGCCAGGCCUGAAGCCAUGGGUUUUGAGGGGUGUUUAUUUGUUUGUUUGCUUAGAGAUGGGGUCUUGAUCUGUCGCCCAGGCUGGAGUGCGGUGGCGCGAUCAUAGCUCACUGCAGCCUCCAACUCCUGGGCAAGUGAUCCUCCUGCCUCAGCCAACCCAAUAGCUGGGAUUACAGGCGCGAAGCCCACUGGUUUUUAGGUUUCAUGUUGCCUCUCCCACCCCCUCUCCUUCCAGGGGACUGGGGAACGGUGGAGGCUCAUAUAGACCUGAAAGGGGCACGAGGGAUCCUCCCAGGUUGCUGGAAUCUCUAGUAUCUUUACCUAGGUGGUAGAUACGUGGAUGUCUACAUUUUUUAAAAAAAUCAAUUAGACUAUUACAUUUUUAUUUUAUUUUGAGACAGCUUUUCACUCUUGUCACCCAGGCUGGAGCGCAAUAGUGCAAUCUCAGCUCACUGCAACCUCCACCUCCGGGUUUCAAGCUAUUCUUCUCCCUUAGCCUCCCAAGUAGCUGGGAUUACGGGCGCCUGCCACCACACCCAGGUAAUUUUUGUAUUUUUAGUAGAGACGGGUUUUCACCAUGUUGGUCAGGCUGGUCUCGAACUCCUGACCUUCAGAUGAUCCACCCGCCUCUGCCUUCCAAAGUACUGGGAUUAACAGGCGUGAGCCUCCACACCCAGCAACUAUUGCAUUUUAUUUUACUGUAUGUAUGUAAUACCUUAACCACACACAAAAAAUUACCUUGUUCAAAUUUUCCAGAAUUAGAAUUCUACCAGUUCCCCAAAGUCUUGCUGUUUCUCCAUGCCCCUUAGCCCUUACCAGCUGCUAGAGCUGUCUUUUCAUCCUUUGCACCCUGGCACACUCCUACUCAUCCCUCAGAACCCAAAUGUCACCUCUUAUCUCUAAAAUGUUCCUUGACAUCCUUCUGCCAAAUACUAGCCCCUUCCUCUCUGUUUACAAUGCAGAUUCGGUCCUAGUGAAUUACUGUUAUUUUCUACUCUGCCUCACUCAUGAAGGCACAAGACUUGAUUUACAUACGCUGUCCUCUUCAGGCCCUGCCACAGGGCCACAGAAGGACCUCACACAUUUCAUGUCAAUUGAGGUCACUGGACUGACCUGGGAAUGAGGAGCCUGGGUUGUUACUCCACUUUUGCACAUAGAUGUGUGACCUUGAUUAUUUUCCACCACGUCCUGGCCUCGGUUUCCUUAUCUGUUAAAAGGGAAUGACACCACAGGCCUUGCAAAAUUGAAGGGAUUAUUUCUUUGAAGACCAACAGGCGAUAGGGGGCAGUAGUGUCCCAGGAUCCAGUUUCCCGCUUCAGGUUUCAAGAAACAGGAGCAGCUGCAGUGAUGAAGUUUUCCCGACUAUGACAGUGUACAGUUGACCUUGAACAACGUGGGGGUUUGGGGCACCGACCCCUGCACAGUCCAAAAUCCUGGGGUCUUUUUUUUAAUUUGACAUGGAGUCUCCCUCUGUCGCCAAGGCUGGAGUGCAGUGGCGCGAUCUCAGCUCAUUGCAACCUCUGCCUCCCGGGUUGAAGCAAUUCUCCUGCCUCAGCCGCCCAAGUAGCUGAGAUUACGGGCGCCCGCCACCAUGCCCGGCUAAUUUUUGUAUUUUUAGUAGAGACGGGGUUUCACCAGGUUGGCCAAGCUGGUCACGAACUCCUGACCUCAGGUGAUCCACCCGCCUCGGCCUCCCAAAGUGCUGUGAUUACAGGCAUGAGCCACUGCGCCUGGCCUCAUUUUUGACUCCCCAAAAACAACUUUUUUUUUUUUUUUUUUUUUGAGAUGGAGUUUUGCUCUUGUCGCCCAGGCUGGAAUGCAAUGGCACGAUCUCGGCUCACUGCAACCUCCACUUCCCAGUUCAAGCAGUUCUGCCUCAGCUUCCUGAGUAGCUGGGAUUACAAGUGCCCACCACCACGCCUGGCUAAUUUUUAUAUUUUUAGUAGAGACUGGGUUUCGCCAUGUUGGCCAGGCUAGUCUCGACUCCUGACCUCAGGUGAUCUACCCGCUUUGGCCUCCCAAAGUGCUGGGAUUACAGGCGUGAGCCACUGCGCCCAGCCCAAAAACUUAACUAUUGACAGCAUACUGUUGACCAGAAGCCUUACCAAUGACAGUUGAUUAGCAUUUUGUUUGUUUGUUUUUCGUUUUUGUUUUGAGAUGGAAUCUCGCUCUGUUGCCCAGGCUGUAGUGCAGUGAUGUGAUCUCGGUUCACUGUAACCUCUGCCUCCUGGGUUCAAGUGAUUCUCCUGCCUCAACCUCCCAAGUAGCUGGGACCACAGGCACCCGCCACCAUGCCAGGCUAAUUUUUGUAGUUUUAGUACAGAUGGGGUUUCAACAUGUUGGCCAGGGUGGUCUCGAACUCCUGGCCUCAAGUGAUCCACCCACUCUGGCCUUCCAAAGUGCUGGGAUUACAGGCAUCAGCCACUGUGCCUGGCCAAUGACAGUUGAUUAGCAUAUUUUGUAUGUUAUAUAUAUUACAUGCUGUAUCCUUACAAUAAACCAGAGAAAAGAAAUUGUUAUUAAGAAAAUAAUAAGGAUGAGAAAAUAUAUUUACUCUUCAUGUAGUGGAAGUGACUCAUGGUAAAGCUCUUCAUCCUUGUCAUCUUUAUGUUGAGUAGGCUGAAGAGGAGGGGAGGAGGAAGGGUUGGUCUUGCUGUCUUGGGGGGUGGCAGAAGUGGAAGAAGUGGUGGAGGUGGAAAGAGAGAGGCAUGAGAGGCGGCAUACUUGGUGUAACUUUUAUUUAUUUAUUUAUUUUUAUUGAGAUGGAGUCUCGCUCUUUCGCCCUGGCUGGAGUACAGUGGCUCAACCUCGGCUCACUGCAACCUCUGUCUCCCAGGCUCAAGAGACUCUCCUGCCUCAGCCUCCCAAGUGGCUGGGAUUACAGGCGCCGGCCACUAUGCCCGGCUAAUUUUUGAAUUUUUAGUAGAGACAGGGUUUCACCAUGUUGGCCAGACUGGUCUCGAACUCCUGGCCUCAACUGAUCCGCCUGCCUCCGCCUCCCAAAGUGCCAGGAUUACAGAUGUGAGCCACGGUGCCCAGCCAGGUGAAAAAAAUCCAUAUAUAAGCGGACCCAUGCAUUUCAAACCUGCGUUGUUCAAGGGUUAACUGUAUUAUUGAACUGAAGAGUUCUACUGGUGAUCCCCUACUUCCCCAUCUUCCAGACUGGCAGACAUCCUGCUUUCCCUGGCAGGUCAGUUCUGUAAUGUGACUCCAGUGCCGUCACUGGAGGGAGACAGCCUAGAGCCUCUUCCUCUAUCCUUAACAACACAUUGAUACGCCUGUUUCCCGGAUGUCUCUUUCAACUGAUAAUAUCUUUUUUUUUUUUUUUUUUUUUGAGACAAGAGUCUUGCUCUGUCGCCCAGGCUGGAGUGCAGUGGCGCGAUCUCUGCUCACUGCAAGCUCUGCCUCCUGGGUUCACACCAUUCUCCUGCCUCAGCCUCCCGAGUAGCUGGGACUACAGGCGCCCGCCACCAUGCCCAGCUAAUUUUUUGUAUUUUUAGUAGAGACGGGGUUUCACCGUGUUAGCCAGGAUGGUCUUGUGGUCUUGAUCUCCUGACGUCGUGAUCCACCCACCUUGGCCUUCCAAAGUGCUGGGAUUAUAGGUAAGAGCCACUGCGCCCAGGCUUUUUUUUUUUUUUUAACUUGAGAUGGAGUCUCGCUCUGACUCCCAGGCUGGAGUGCAAUGGUGCGAUCUCAGCUCACUGCAACCUCCGCCUCCCGGGUUCAAGUGAUUCACCUGCCUCAGCCUCCCAAGUAGCUGGGAUUACAGGUGCAUGCCACCAUGCCCAGCUAAUUUUGUUUUUGUAUUUUUUAGUAGAGACAGGGUUUUGCCAUGUUGGCCAGGCUGGUCUCGAACUCUUGACCUCAGGUGAUCUGCCCACCUCAGCCUCCCCAGAAUGCUGGGAUUACAGGUGUGAGCUACUGCGCCUGGCCUCUGCUGAUAAUAUCUACAGAGGUUUCCUCUUAAACCAAUGGAUGCAGCCCCUUUUGUUUUCUAUUUUUGUUUGUUUCCUUUGAGACAGGGUCUGGCUCUGUCACCCAAGCUGGAGUGCAGUGGCAUGAACACGGCUCACUGCAGCCUCACAUUCCUGAGCUCAAGCAAUCCUCCCAUCUCAGGCUCUGCAGUAGCUGAGACCACAGGCACAUGCACCCACACCCAGCUAGUUUUUUUGUUUUUGUUUUUGUUUUUGUUUUUAACUAUUUGUAGAGAUGGAGGUCUCCCUAUGUUACCCAGGCUGGUCUCCAAUUCCUGGGCUCAAGCAGUCCCAAAGCACUGGGAUUACAGCCGUCAACCACCACUCCUGGCUUUUUUUUUUUUUUUUUUUUUUGAUACAACCCUUUUUGACUUCCCAAGCAACCCAACUGCAGAAGAAGGCCAAGAACAAUUUUGAUUUUAUCUAGAAAUUCAAUGUUAAUUUUCGGCUUUGAACUGAUUAAAUAAUAGUUCUAAGUCCACUUAUCAAGGAAUUAAAAUGCGGGGCUGGGCGCAGUGCCUCAUGCUUGUAAUCUCAGCACUGUGGGAGGCCAAAGGGGAUGGAUUGCUUGAGUCCAAGAGUUCAAGACCAGCCAGGGCAGCAUAGCAAGACCCCAUCUCUACAAAAAAUACAAAAAAAAAAUUAGCCAGGCAUGGUGGCACGUGCCUGUAGUCUCAGCUAUUUGGGAGGCUGAGGUGGGAGGAUCACCCAAGCCUGGGAGAUCAAGACUGCAGUGAGCUGAGCUGUGAUAGUGCCACUGCACUCCAGCCUGGGUGACAGAGUGAGACCCUGUCUCCAAUAAAUAAAUAAAUAAAUAAAUAGUGGACAUUUUUAGGAUCUCGGCGGAACACAGUGAAUUGUAUAUUGUAGGGUUUUAUUAUAUAAAUCGGGACUCAAAUUCAAAUGCCUUCAGGGAUCAGGCAGUUUAUAUGAAUCAGAGAUGGCACUAGCAUAGGCAGUAGGAGCGGGGAGGAUUGUGGCAAACUGGAUCAUAGGAUGUCAUACCUAAAUACAUUCAAUUCCAAUGUCUGAAAACACACUGGUAGCCAAACCAAAGAUGCAGCCAGAAGUCACUAAGUUUAUGGUUUACGUUAUAAAUGUAAUUGACUAUGUUAUCUGAAAUCAGAAAAGAGAUAAAGGUAACUCAAUCACAGUACUGUAAAAUGAUUGCUAUCAACUGCUUGACGUAUUUCUUUUGACGGCUCUAGUUUUUUGUUCAUUGGUUUUUUGGUUAGCAUUGUUGUAGCUAUAUUUACUCAUCAGGUGUUUUUCAACAUUACUGUUUCAGGAUCUGCAGUCAAAUUUACCCAGAGGAUCCCAGGCUCUUAGGACUUGACAGGUCACCCACAGUAAAGGUGCCUUUUUUUUUUUUUUUUUUUAAGACAGUCUUACUCUGACACUCAGGCUGGAGUGCAGUGGCGUGACCUUGGCUCACUGCAACCUCUGCCUCUGGGUUCAAGUAAUUCUCGUACCUCAGCCUCCCAAGUAGCUGGGAUUACAGGUGCCCGCCACCAUGCCCAGCUAAUUUUUGUAUUUUUAGUAGAGAUGGGAUUUCACCAUGUCAGCCAGGCUAACUCCUGGCCUCAAGUGAUCCACCUGCCUUGGCCUCCCAAAGUGCUGGGAUUACAGGUGUGAGCCACCAUGCCCAGCCUUAAAUGUAUACUUUUUUUUUUUUUUUUUUUUUUUGAGAUGGAGUUUUGCUCUUGUCACCCAGGCUGGAGUGCAAUGGCGCAAUCUCGGCUCACUGCAACCUCCGCCUCCUGGGUUAAAGCGAUUCUCCUGCCUCCGCCUCCUGAGUAGCUGGGACUACAGGCGCCUACCACCAUGCCUGGCUAAUUUUUUGUAUUUUUAGUAGAGACGUGGGUUCACUAUGUUGGCCAGGCUGGUCUCGAACUCCUGACCUCAGGCGAUCCACCCACCUCAGCCUCCCAAAGUGCUGGAAUUACAGGCAUGAGCCACUGCACCUGGCCAAAUGUGCAUUUUUAAGGUUAUCACCACAGAUUGAUUGGCAUGAGCUCAUGUGCCAUCAGGUGCAUGAAUCAUCCAACAGGACAAACAGCUGGCACAUGGUGGGUACUCCAUACAUAUCUGAUGGAUAAUGAAUGAACCUCUUAACUGCCGUCUGGCCCAGAACUGACCAGGUGGUAAUCAGUGGUCAGUGAGGUGCAACAUGAACUGGGCCCUCUCUGCUUCCCUCCCUUUUCAUCCUGCCUUAUUGAGAUACAAUUCAUAUACCAUAAAAUCCAUCCUUUUAAAGUGUUAUAUGGCAGAUGCGGUGGCUCAUGCCUGUAAUCCUAGCAUUUUGGGAGGCCGAGGUGGGCGGAUUGCUUGAGGUCAGGAGUUCAAGACCAGCCUGGCCAACAUGGUGAAACCCCAUCUCUUCUAAAAAUACAAAAAAAAAAAAAAAUUAGCCAGGCGUGGUGGUGUACGCCUGUAGUCCUAGCUACUCAGGAGGCUGAGGCAGGAGAGUCACUUGAACCCAGGAGGUGGAGGUGGUAGUGAGCCGAGAUUGCACCACUGUACUCCAUCCUGGGCAACAGAGCGAGACUUCGUCUCAAAAUAAAUAAAUAAAGUGUUAUACUUCAGUGGUUUCUGGUAUAUUCUCAGAGUUGUUCAAACAUCACCACUAUCUAAUUUCAAAACAUCUUAUUGCCCCAAAAAAGAAACCCUGUACCCAUUAGCAGUCAUUCCCCAAUCCCUCCUCUGCCCAGCCCUGGCAACCACUGUCUACUUUCUGUUCUGUGGAUUUGGAGUAGAAUCAUAUAGUAUGUGGCCUCUUGUGACUGGCUUCCUUCUCUUGGCAUGAUGUUUAAAGGUUCAUCUACAUUGUAGUGUGUGUCAGGAUUUCAUUUCUUUUUGUGGCUGAAUCAUAUUCCAUGGUAUGCAUGCACCACAUUUUGUCUACGGAUAUUUGAGUUGUUUCCACAUUUUGGCUAUUAUUAAUGCUGCUAUACACAUUUGGCAGAGUGCAGUAGCUCACACCUAUAAUCCUAGCACUUUGGGAGGCUGAGGCAAACGGAUCAAUUGAGGCAGGAGUUUGAGACCAGCUUGGCCAACAUGGCAAAACCCCGUCUCUACUAAAAAUAUAUAGCCAGGCAUGGUGGUGCAUGUCUGUAAUCCCAGCUGUUCAGGAGGCUAAGGCACAAGAAUCGCUUGAAUCCGAGAGGCAGAGCUUGCAGUGAGCCAAGAUCGCACCACUGCACUGACAGUGUUUCAUCAUGUUGGCCAAGCUGGUUUCAAACUCCUGAUCUCAAGUGAGCUGCCCACCUUGUUCUCUCAAAGUGCUGAGAUUACAGGCAUGAGCCCCUGCACCCAGCCUGCAUAACUUUUUUUAAAAGGCAUUGUUGCCUUGUUCCCUUGAAUCACUUUCUCUGGGAAACUAGCUAUCAUGUCAUGAGGACACUCAAGCAGCUCUGGGAGAGACCCCCUGUGGCUAGAAGCUGUGGAUUCUCACCAACAGCCAUGCAAGAUUCCCCAGCCCCAGUCGAGCCUUCAGAUGACCACAGCCCCAGCUGAUAUCUUGACUGCAAUAUCAUGAAAAACCAUGUGUCAGAACUGCUCAGACAUGUUGCUCCCAAAUUCUGGACCUGCAGAAACCAUGAAAGACAAUAAAUGAUUAUUGCUGUUUUAGGUCACUAUGUUUUGAGCUAACUUCUUACACAGCAAUAGAUACUAAUGCAUAUUUUAACCAGUUUCCUACAUUAAAACCUUUCUGUUGGAAAGACCUGGAGUGUGUUUUAUUUUUCUGACUGAUACAAACUCCUGUCCUGAAUUGUAAACCAAGAGUGAAAAAAUAAGAAAAAAGAGUAAAGAAGAUGGAAUAUCUAAAUACAGUCAUGUGUUACUUGAUGACAGCAAUACAUUCUGAGAAACAUAUGGGUGGCAAUUUUGUGGUUGUGCAAACAUCACAGCAUCUACUUACACAAAACUAGACAGUAUAGUCUGCACACCAAGGCCAUAGGGUACAGCCUAUUUCUCCUAGGCUACAAACCUGCACAGCAUGUGACUGUACUGAAUACUGUAGGCAAUUGUGACACACAGGCAUUUGUGUAUCUAAACAUAGAAAAGGUAAAGUAAAAAUAUGGUAUUAUCAUUUCAAGAGACCGCUGCUGUAUAUGUGGUCCAUCGUUGACUGAAACAUUGUCAUGUGGUGCACGACAGUAUUAUAAGGAUGACUUAUAAGUGAAUGUUGGGAAUGUGGCUUAUAGAUGUAGCCAAAUAUGGUUGCACAGAAUACCGAAGCACGGAAUUACACAUACCGAGCCGGUUUUGUGAUUUGCCCUCACAGAUACUUCAGGAUGAGAGUGGGCUUCUGUGGGCAGACCCUGAUCAUAUAAAACUAUGGUAGAAGGGGACAGAAGAGCUGGUUCCCAAGAGAAAGGGGAGGGGAAGUGGCUGGGUAAAGCAUGCCCAGUUUGUCCUUCCAAACUGAGCAUUCAGAUUAAGCUAAUUCUGCUUCCAAAGGAGGAGUGAGCAAGGCCAUGGGAAGACAUCAUGAGAGUUAUCCUAGGAGAACUCAGUCUGGCUUAAGCUAAAAAGGGGUAGAUGUUCAGGUAUAGCUGAAUCCAGGGGCUUAAAGGAUGUUAUCGGGCUUGGUGCGGUGGCUCACGCCUG
rnacentral:lncRNA from 1 species